UACAGGGGGGGCAAGCGUUGUUCGGAGUUACUGGGCGUAAAGGGUGUGUAGGCGGUUGCUUAAGGUUGGUGUGAAAUCUCCCGGCUCAACUGGGAGGGUGCGCCGAAUACUGAGUGACUCGAGUGCGGGAGAGGAGAGUGGAAUUCCUGGUGUAGCGGUGAAAUGCGUAGAUAUCAGGAGGAACACCGGUGGUGUAGACGGCUCUCUGGACCGUAACUGACGCUGAGACACGAAAGCGUGGGUAGCAAACAGG
rnacentral:rRNA from 1 species